rnacentral:rRNA from 1 species
UACGUAGGGGGCGAGCGUUGUCCGGAUUUACUGGGCGUAAAGGGCACGUAGGCGGUCUUGUCAGUUUCUAGUGACAGGUCAGAGCUUAACUCUGACAGGCCUAGAAAGACGGCAGGACUUGAGUACUUCAGAGGGACGCGGAAUUCCAGGUGGAGCGGUGAAAUGCGUAGAGAUCUGGAAGAACACCAAAGGCGAAGGCAGCGUCCUGGGAAGUUACUGACGCUCAGGUGCGAAAGCUAGGGGAGCGAACGGG